rnacentral:rRNA from 1 species
AGAACGAACGCUGGCGGCAGGCUUAACACAUGCAAGUCGAACGCGUGUAGCAAUACACGAGUGGCGCACGGGUGAGUAACGCGUGGGAACGUGCCUUUUAGUUCGGGAUAACUACGGGAAACUGUAGCUAAUACCGAAUACGCCCUUCGGGGGAAAGUUUUCGCUAAAAGAUCGGCCCGCGUUAGAUUAGGUAGUUGGUGGGGUAAAAGCCUACCAAGCCUACGAUCUAUAGCUGUUCUGAGAGGAAGACCAGCCACACUGGAACUGAGACACGGUCCAGACUCCUACGGGAGGCAGCAGUGGGGAAUAUUGGACAAUGGGGGAAACCCUGAUCCAGCCAUGCCGCGUGAGUGAUGAAGGCCUUAGGGUUGUAAAGCUCUUUUGCCAGGGAAGAUGAUGACGGUACCUGGAGAAUAAGCACCGGCUAACUUCGUGCCAGCAGCCGC